rnacentral:rRNA from 1 species
AUGGUGGCAACCAGUUUGGCUCUGGCUGAGCAGCAUAACUGCAAUGGACUCAAGGAAGCUUGCCUCAAGUUCCUUGCUUCUCCAUCCAAUUUGGAGGCGAUGAUGGCAAGUGAUGGCUACGAGCAUCUGAAAAGCAGCUGCCCAUCUGCCCUUAAGGAGCUGAUUGCUAGGCUCCUGCCGGCUCAAAUGAAAGCGGCCAAGGAUAUUGUCAUGGCACUUUAG